GUCUACAGCCAUGUCACCCUAAACGUGCCCGAUCUCAUCUGAUCUCGGAAGCUAAGCAGGUUCGGGCCUGGUUAGUACUUGGAUGGGAGACUACCUAAAAAAACCAAGGGCGGUAGGCA
rnacentral:rRNA from 1 species